UGAGCGGCAUUUUCAAUAUUUGGUUUGUCGUUAAAGCUCAUAGAAAAAUUUACCCUAAUCUCCAUAUUAAAGGGGAGAUUGAAAACCACUCUAUAAUUCGCCUCUCUCUCGUAUUCGAUCUCUAGGAAAGCUUUGCCUCUCUCGCCAUUCUCGAAUUCGAUCUCUGAAGGUGGUAGAAUAAACUAAAUUAAGGUGAAGCUGUACGGAGGUGAGUUUUUGGGAAUCUCCUUACACUACAUGCGUUUGUUUUUUAUUCAAACAUUUCCAAGACGGGGACUUCUACAAUCUAAUCAAACCUUACCCUUGAUAUGCCAGGUGGUUGCGGUGCUGAAAGAUUGCGAGGGGUGUACUAGCUAUAGCCUGGCAAGUGCUCGUGUAUGCAAGUAUGUUGGUUUGCCCCGUUUUAUACUGUUGCCAUCAUCAUUGUCCUGUUGGGUAUGACUUCUGGUCGAGUGGAGCGAUGUUAUUAUCUCGUAUUUUGUGAGCUAGGUGGACUCAGAAACUUUUUGGGGUCUUUGAAAUAGAGCUUUUGGUAACAAUUCUGCUGAGUUUGUUGGUUGUUUAAGCUCGUCAGUAUGUCGCCUUAACCUGUUGCACAUCGCAAUUGUACUCUCUCUUAAGUACAAUUUGAGUAAUUGAGAGCAUAUGCAUAAAUUCAGAAGGAACUUCAGAAAAUAAUUGAAGAACCAACAGUUUUUCAUGUCUAGGGAGGUACUUCCAUCUAAGUUUAAUGAAGAAAACAAACAAAAUCAGGUGCUUACCAAUCGCGUGGAUACGGUACAUGAAGAAAACAGUGCACUUAAGAGCUGUAUGAGUUCAGUUGAAGAUGAGCUUAAAUCAUUUAAAGACGUGUUACUAUAGCGGCUUGAGGCUCCAAGAGAGGACACUUCAACUAUUUAGAUUUUUAUUUUGUUAUUUUAGAUUGAACAUGAGUUUUAUAUUUAUUAGUUUUUUUAGAAUUUAAAGACAACGGGAUGUGAUUGUUGGGUUCAUGUAACUUGAAUUUCUAUUGUCAAUUUAUUUUUGAUUAAUGAAAUUUUCAUUUGUUAAAA